rnacentral:lncRNA from 1 species
UGAUACUGACUUGACCAUCGGAGGGUUCUCCAUUGGAGAAUCCCAAUCGGUUCCUCUGGCGCACGGACUUUUCUUGCAUGUACUUGGUGACUACAUCCAGUGUCCUCCACUCCAGCCUUGCGGCCGUCCUAUUGCGUCGCUUGCACCACAUUAUCCCCAAUCGAAGAGGAGCAGCAACAACUAGGUUUAGGUUUAUUUGUUUAGGAGAAACUAAGGUUUUGACUCAUUCAUUCUAUUUGUGGAGUUUCGCAGAAUUUAUUGAUGCUUGUUAUUGGAUUGA